GUUUACUACAAUUGCAAAGUCAAAUAUGAUAUCCAAGAGAUACAGAUAUCAACAUCUGUGCUAUGAUCACUAUUCUAUCACUCUCAAGUUCGUCAACCUCAGAAACGCCCUAAAGCUCCAAGAAAAUCUGAGCAAACUUCGUCCAAAAAGCUGAAUGUCCUGUUUCUAAGUGACCAUAAGCAGCCAAUGAGACCCCAGAGGACAAAAGUAGCAUUCCGUGUUGGCCAUCAACAAACAGAGGCACAGCAUCACCUGGACUUCUCCCAGUGUAAAUGCUGGUCCAAAAAAAAAAGAGGAACCCCAAUUGCAAACAGGACAGAAACAAAGAAGCCAUGGAUGUUUUUGACCGUCAAAGAUACCCACACAGUAUAAAUGCUUCCACUGGGAGGACUCCUAUUCCUCUUACCCCGGAACGAGUGAUGAUGACUCCUCCAGUUCUGGAAGUUAAGUCAACAGUUGAAAACAGGAAUAAUUAUGUUGAUCAAGACUAUGGAGAAGACGCAUUCACUGGGCAGAAGGGAUUAUGACAUAGUCACCCUUGUGGAAGAAAUUAUUAAAUGACAGCUUUAUUUUUCCAAUUCUAAGAUAAAUGACACUAAAGACUUUAUGACAGGGAGUGAUGUCAUUGUCAUAUGUAUCUUAUUUUCAGUAAUGCCAUCUUCCUGGAAUAGUAAUUGAAUAGAGAAUGUUUCCUUUACAUCAAAAAUAUGUGAUUUUUUUUUGUG
rnacentral:lncRNA from 1 species